rnacentral:rRNA from 1 species
GACGAACGCUGGCGGCGUGCCUAAUACAUGCAAGUCGAACGCGUCUACGUUAAUGAAAUCAAUGUGCUUGCACGGCGAUGGAUUUAACAUUAGACGAGUGGCGAACUGGUGAGUAACACGUGGGUAACCUGCCCUCAAGCAGGGGAUAACACUUGGAAACAGGUGCUAAUACCGUAUAACAACAAAAACCGCAUGGUUUUUGUUUGAAAGAUGGUUUCGGCUAUCACUUGAGGAUGGACCCGCGGCGUAUUAGCUAGUUGGUGAGGUAAUGGCUCACCAAGGAAAUGAUACGUAGCCGACCUGAGAGGGUAAUCGGCCACAUUGGGACUGAGACACGGCCCAAACUCCUACGGGAGGCAGCAGUAGGGAAUCUUCCACAAUGGACGAAAGUCUGAUGGAGCAACGCCGCGUGAGUGAAGAAGGGUUUCGGCUCGUAAAACUCUGUUGUUAAAGAAGAACGCUUGAGAGAGUAACUGCUCUCAAGGUGACGGUACCUGAGAAGAAAGCCCCGGCUAACUACGUGCCAGCAGC